rnacentral:rRNA from 1 species
GCCAGUGUAAACUGUGAGGAAGGUGGGGAUGACGUCAAAUCAUCACGGCCCUUACGCCUUGGGCUACACACGUGCUACAAUGGCCGGUACAGAGAGCAGCCACUGGGUGACCAGGAGCGAAUCUACAAAACCGGUCACAGUUCGGAUCGGAGUCUGCAACUCGACUCCGUGAAGCUGGAAUCUCUAGUAAUCGGAUAUCAGCCAUGAUCCGGUGAAUACGUUCCCGGGCCUUGUACACACCGCCCGUCAAGCCAUGGAAGCUGGGGGUGCCUGAAGUCGGUGACCGCAAGGAGCUGCCUAGGGUAAAACUGGUAACUAGGGCUAAGUCG